AACAUCCUGAGAUGCUCGAUAGCCCAUCGUUAUUGAACCUACAUGACUGAAAAGGGAUUCCUAUAAGCUGAAGUGAUGUCAGGCCUCAAGAUAAUUCCCUUUGGGCGGAGGAAGGCUGAGACUUUAGCUGCGGUUGCCCACCUGGCUUAGGCUAGGUGUCAAGAGAUGGGAACGGCAUUUCGGGAUCUCC
rfam:Firmicutes bacterium CAG:466 genomic scaffold, scf140